rnacentral:rRNA from 1 species
UACAGAGGGUGCGAGCGUUGUCCGGAAUCACUGGGCGUAAAGGGCGCGUAGGCGGCUUGAUAAGGUUGCGGUGAAAGCCCGGGGCUCAACCCCGGGUCGGCCGUGGCAACUGUCGAACUGGAGCACUGUAGAGGCAGGUGGAAUUCCGGGUGUAGCGGUGGAAUGCGUAGAGAUCCGGAAGAACACCGGUGGCGAAGGCGGCCUGCUGGGCAGUGGCUGACGCUGAGGCGCGACAGCGUGGGGAGCAAACAGG